CGUCUGCCAUAACAAUAAAAAAAAGUUCGCUUUGUUGUGAGUGCGACUGCGAGAGUGUUUUAAUUAAUUUUGUUUUAAGUUCAUUAAGAGUUUCCCGAGAAUCAACAGGAUUUCUUGUUCUAUAAUGCAGAAGUAUGAAAAAUUAGAAAGAAUUGGCGAAGGCACAUAUGGAACUGUGUUUAAGGCCAAGAAUAGAGAAAAUCAGGGGAUUGUGGCUCUGAAACGUGUCAGGCUUUUCAAUAAUAGGAUGAUGAUGCUGAAAUAUUUGCAUUUAGCAAACGACUUGGAGAAAAUUUCAAUGAAGCUACACUACGAACAGCAUUAACACACAAGUCGUAUGUUGAGAGGGAAAAAUGCCAGAUUGUCAGAUAUGGGAGUGGAUUCCCAUUUACAGAUUCAAAACAAUGAAGAACUUGCUGUAGCAGGUGGUGAAAUGAUAAGCAAAUUUACCAAUGGUUAUUUCAGAGCAGUAUUCACACGAGUCCCAGAAG